rnacentral:rRNA from 1 species
UACGUAGGGUGCAAGCGUUAAUCGGAAUUACUGGGCGUAAAGCGUGCGCAGGCGGUUCGUUAAGACAGAUGUGAAAUCCCCGGGCUUAACCUGGGAACUGCAUUUGUGACUGGCGGACUGGAGUAUGGCAGGGGGGGUAGAAUUCCAGCGUGUAGCAGUGAAAUGCGUAGAGAUGUGGAGGAAUACCGAUGGCGAAGGCAGCCCCCUGGGCCAAUACUGACGCUCAUGCACGAAAGCGUGGGGAGCAAACAGG